GAUAGAUACCAGAUAUUUUUGCCAUUUUCAGACAGCUUUUCGUUUUCCAAAAAAACAAACAAACUCUCUAAUAGCGAUUGAACCAACAAACGAUAUGUGUCUUCCACGAAUCGACUCAGUCUCAUCUCCAAGGUUACCCAUUGUUACUCUAUUUUCUUCAUCCUUGACAGAGAGUUGACUCGAAUCAAUUCUUACAUAAAGCUUUUUUUUUUUUGCAUGUCUCUCCGAUGGCUUAAAUAUAAUCGAAGUUGAUAUCGUGGUGAGCUGAUUCAACAGACAAAAAACUCCAAAGGUUUCAUUCGACAGAAGAAAUAAAAGAACAUUUCUUUCUUAACUGCCGGUUCCUCUUGGUUAAACAUAAGAAGAUGGAAUCUCCGAAAGUAUAACUCCAUCCGAUCCGUAAAAGUUGGGUCCGAUGAUUUUCUUUCUUAUUCCGAUGAGAUGGGAACUUGUUGCGAUGACUUCGAAGUAAAAUGGAACUUUAAAGUGUAAGCCGUACAAACAUAAAGGUUUGCAACGGGAGUUCACAAACAUACAAAUGAAACAAUCUGUAUCAUUAAACAUUGAUAGAGAUAUAAACUAUCACAGAUUCACAGGAACUACAAUCCAGUUGUCAUGCUGUGCACUACAAACAAUCAGUACGAAGAUAAGUAUUCUACUGAAUACAUCCAUACAUGUUUUAAUUUGAUCCAUUCAUUGUUUCAUUUGGUCAAAAUUUUAGGAAUUUAAACUAUGAUGACUUAACAGAAUUUCCAUGUUAUUGUUUUUAUUACCUUUUUGUCUGCAAAUAUGAUUUCCAAACUUUCACCAAGCCCAGCAUUGGAUGGUUUCCAGGUGUGGUGACUUUGGCUUCGACCAGGGCCGGCCCAGAAAGUUUGGAGGCCCAAGACCAUUUAGUAAAGAUUUAAAAAAUUGGGAGGCCUAAAAAUUUUUUUUUUACAAAUUGGGGGCCUAUUUACAUAUAAAGAUUUUCAAAAAUUUUGGGGGCCCUAGGCGAAUGUUUCAUUGGGCUUGGUCCAGGGCCGGCCCUGGCUUCGACCAACCCGUCUUCCAUUGCCUAAUCUUAUCAAGUAUCUUUCCGGCUCGAAAGAUGGUAGAUACGGUGAGGACAACGAACGAAGAGACGAACGAAGAGACAAGGAUAAGGCUGUAUAAGAAGAGGAAGUAGUUCUUUAUUAACAAAGCCAAUGAGUUCCAUCAGCAUGUGGCAUGGAUGUGUCUCAUUGUGUGUUGCCUGAGUAGGCAAGGGGAUUAGAUGGUCGUGGAGCCAGUUAUAGCUGAGAGAUGAGAGCAAAAACCGAGAUAUCAUAAGCAAGUUCAGAGAAAUCAGCUCCACAAAUAACUUACACCAUAGAAGAAUGCUUCGAGAAAAGUAAUACUAAGAUGGAGAAAGUGAAGAACUGUACAUGGGACAAACAACUUGAAAAGUGUUCUUCAAGCAUUCAUGUCAGGCUGCAAAUGAGAACCAGACGUCUCCUGAGACUUCUUGGGAUACUAACUAACUUGGUUUAUUCGGUUACAGUCAAAAAUGUAUCGAGCAGGAUCAGUUGUCUACUAUGAAGCACAACGGUAUUGUUUCGUCCUUUUAAAUAGCCAGAUGAAAUACUGGGGAAAUGUCUUCCUUAUCGGAUGUGACACCCAGAGAUUGUUCAAGCCAUGUUCCAUGAGAGUUGUUUGGAUGAUCAGUGUGCACUGAGAAUACAAAGGACCGCUUAUAUGAAGCCAAUGCAUUUGGGACUCAAGGAACAAUAUGUUCAACAACUUGAAGCAGUUCAAAGUCUAUCCCUCAAAUUGUUCAAAAACCAACCUCAGUGUUCUUUUGUGAAUAAAUAAAAAAUGAAAAUUGGGUUACAAGGAAUUCUAGAAGUCUAACCCAUCAAAACUAUCUCGGUAGAAAAAAUUCUUCACUACCAAAAAACAAUGUAUAAAUAAAUCUAAAUUUUAUUUGAUGAAUAUUAUAACUAAUAUUACCAACUUCUUAAUUUAUGCUUGAGUAAUUUCAAAAGAUUCAUUUUUACAUAAGCUCACAUUAUUAUAUUUUCAGUAAAUGAAUGAUUAUUAUAUAUGGUGUAAAUUUUUAUGUUUAUCCAAAUAUAAAUGUAUCAGUUUUUACAUGUUUAUAAAUUUUAUAACAAGGAGUCUUUUUCGGUAAUAACCUAUGCAAUUACAAUAACAUGAUUGAAUUGGGAUAUCAUUUAUCAUAGAACAUAUGGCUGAAUUACUUUUAUAUAUUUUAUAUCACUAAAGUUAUAAGAAUAUAAUAUAGGUUUAGUUUUGAUUAUUUCAACUAUUAAAUAUUUUAGAGUCGAAUGUAAUGAUAUUAAUAAUAAAGAUUAUAUUAUAAAUAAUAUACAUAAUAUUUAAAUGUAUAACUAAAAUAAAAAUAAUUGUAAAGAAAAUUGAAAAAGAUAAAAAAAAAGUGUUUAUAUUUUGUAAUUUUUUUAGUUGAGAAAUGGAAUGAAAGUUGUGAUAAAUAUUAGUUUAUCAAGUUAAGAAAUAACAAUGUAAUAACCAAGUUAUCACCAUUUAACUAUUUUUGUGUAUAUAUUAUAUAAUAUUUGGUUGAAUUAUAUAAAAUAUUUAAAAUUUUCAUACAAUUUUUGAAAAUUACAAAAAAAAUUAUGAUAAAUAAAAAUUUAAUAUAUUUAAAAGCAUUUUCCACGCGUAGCGCGGACAACGUCUCUAGUAUAUAAUAAUUUUUAAGUACAAAAAUAAUUAAAAACAUGAGAAAGAACGGAGAAAAGUGCUAACCUAAGAACUUUUCAAAUAUCUUUCAGAACUCUAAUAAGUAAUAACAUAUGUCACUCAACAGUUGAACCAAUUAAAUUGUAUAAUUACAAAAUUGAUAUAUUCUGUUUUCUUAAGAACUAUUUCAGGUUUUGAGAGAUGGAACUGCUCUGAGACAAUUCCUCGUUACUGUGUUGUUGGUAGCACUAUGUAUGUGAUGGUAGAGACUAUAAAUAAUUAGUCUAUCUUUUCCGCAAAAGUGUAGAAGCUUCAUGAACUCAAACUUCCGAUAAUUCUAUAUGUCGUAUGAAGAUUCACAUCCGACUACAUCACUUGAGACGCCUUAUGAGAUCCACGCUUGACGGUACUCCUUGCGCCAUACUGCGAAUCUCUUGUAAGCUUUUUCUCUCUUAAUUCACAUAAUUCCAUCUUUUCCGGAAUUUGAAACCCAAACCUCAUAAUGUAGAAACAUUAAUGAACUCUUGGUCAAACUACUGGAUCCAGGGGGCUUCCACUACGUGCACCUUUAGGCGAUAGAUAUUUUGUUUGCCACGUUAUGUCCACGAACCAUGAUUAAUACCAUAACAAUCUCUUAUAUAUUAAUAGAGAAAUAUUUAAAAAAUUGUGACCUUAAGUUUAUAUUAAUUUUUUUUUUAAAUUAUUUAAGUAUCACUUAAUUAUAAUGUCAAUUCGGCCUAUGUGGCUAAAUAAGAAUCAAUUGAAAAUUUAGUAAGUCCAAAAUCCAAUCGAUAGGAAAACUUAUAUUAACCUAAACAUAAAUGUAUAUGAUAUGAUAAACUUAAUACUCGGCGAUCUCAUCAAAUGAGACUUUCUUUAAAUGGCUCAAGGUUAAUUUAUAUUGUGAUCCAACAUAAUAACUUUUUUUUUUAAAAGUGUAAGAUAUAUAGCUUGCAUCUCACCCUGAAACCAUCCUAAUUGAGCUAAGACUUGCUAAGAGUAAGGCGAUAGCUGAUCUAGUGAGCUUAGUGAGCACAUUCAACCCGCGCAUUAACGCUUGACCAAAAGCGUCGAUCGAUAUUCCAAUAGAAUAAUCGGUCGAUGUUUCAACAAGUGUAUCGAUCGAUAUUCCUAUCGAUCGACACUGGUCAAUAGAAAAACCUAGAAAGCGAGAGCCUCGUGAUUUAUUUAUAAGUGUUGAGCUCUACAAUAUCAUGCAUAUAACUUAUUAAGCAUCUCAGGAUUAUAAUCCUCAUUACCUGAAUAAAAGCCAUACGUCUAGCUAUUUUCAUCUAAGUACCAAAACCCCAAUCGAACAAUUACCUUGCUCACAAACCUGCUAUUUACAUUAAAAAAAAAAUCAUACCUAGCUUAAUCACUCUGAUUAGAUUUAUUAGGUUCCCUAGCUCCUUGUGAAUUCAAUCCCUAAGUACUACAACUGAACCUCUUAUUUGAGAGAGUAAUUCACUCCUUAGAGUAAUUUGAGUGAUAUCAAACGGUGCCAUAGUGGUGACUCGCUGGGAGCUAAUGAGGGAGUGGCUCAACCAUCAGACCGACAGCUCGGAUCUUGAGGGCGCUCUAGAGCGGUAUAAGAUGGUGAAGACUUCCGAAGCUGAGCUCCAGGAACUUCCCGCUCCUUCCUUCGAGGGAGAGCCGAUGAUCCCGAGCAAGACUGAAGCUGAAAAGACUUCGGAGCCUACUGCUGAUGAUCCUCCCGUCGACUGAUCCUUGAUCCUCAUCUUAACUCUCAACCCCUUGUAGGGGUUUCUUUUGUGUUGUACCCACCCUCUGUGAGGGUUUUAAAACUUAUCUAUAGGCCUUCGAGCCUUAUUUUUGUUUUGUCAAACAAUGGCCCUGAUGUGGCCUCUUUUUUCUAUAAAAAGAAUGCUUUCGAAUU